rnacentral:rRNA from 1 species
UACGGAGGGUGCAAGCGUUAUUCGGAUUUACUGGGCGUAGAGGGCGCGUAGGCGGCUUGAUAAGUCAGUCGUGAAAGCCCGGGGCUCAACCCCGGAAGUGCGAUUGAAACUAUCAGGCUUGAGUAUGGUAGAGGGAAGUGGAAUUCCAGGUGUAGCGGUGAAAUGCGUAGAUAUCUGGAGGAACACCGGUGGCGAAGGCGACUUCCUGGACCAAUACUGACGCUGAUGCGCGAAGGUGUGGGUAGCAAACAGGAUUAGAUACCCUGGUAGUCCACACAGUAAACGGUGAUCACUAGGUGUUGCGGGUAUUGACCCCUGCAGUGCCGGAGCUAACGCGGUAAGUGCACCGCCUGGGGAGUAUGCUCGUAAGGGUGAA